rnacentral:misc_RNA from 1 species
AUCCACUCACCCCCCUUUUUUUUUGCCACGUGUCACCGCGUUUUCUUCGCUGCUUCGACGGCGUUUACCUCUGUCUACUUUGUCCAAGCUCCAAUGUUUCUCACUCUAUGCUUUCAAUCGUUAUGACUCUUGCCCUUUUCUUCCAAAUUCAUAACACCUGCUUCUCCUGAUUUUCCCGGUAAAGUUACUGAAAAAAGAGCAGUCACGUUUCUUCAAGUUUUUGUUUGACUCUUGUGAAUUUAAUCUUUUGGAGAUUUAGAUGGAUUUAGGUCUCCAUGCAUCACUUGCCUCGAUUUUUAACUCAUAGCCAGAGGGGCGGCCCUAUGGACCCUAAGAACCGUAGGAGGCCGAGGCUGGAUCGCCGAAAUGCGGCGAAGCACAUUGAUUAUGAUGCGACGUCGUAUUGCUCCUCUUCAGACGACUUGUCAUCGUCGUCUCUGGUUACUAGGUCUCCUGACUUGCCAGAUCGGACUAGUUUUCGGAUUGAAGGAACCGAUGGUGAGUUUGACCGCAUUUGUCGGACCCUGGGCUUGUCGGGUCCCGAGGAUUUUGCUAUUCCGGCGGCGGCGUGGGAGGCGAUGAAGGUCCGGUCGGCUUCAGAUCUUCUGCCGCGGUCCAGAUUGCACAAGGCAAAUAGUCCGGGGAUAGGGGACAAGAAACAUCAUCAUCAGCUGCAGGAUCAGGAGGAGAGUGAAUUGUGUACUAGGGUUGUAGAUAGUGUUAGCAUUACAGACGCUGCUGAGUUGUCUCGGGACGAGCCAGUUGAGUCAGCUAAGUUAAAUGCUUGUCGCGGUGUUGUUUGCGGUGCAGCAGGGGGAAUCAAAGGGGUUAGGCCGCCGCUGUUGAAGCCGCCGCCUUCAAUGACGUUACCGGUGAUCGAUAACGCUUGUUCAACUUGGGAUUUAUUGAGGGAUUUUGCGCCUGAGAAUGAUAGAGGUUCCUUGUUGGUGGCUAGUGGAGACUUCUGCCGUGAUGAUGAGGAAGAAGGACUUGGUGAACACGGACUUGAUUUGGCUGCUAUUAAGACAGAAGAAGAUGGUAAUUCGUUGAGGGUAUGGGAGUCAUGUUCGUUUACCACAUCCAGUGAUGAUGAUUCAUCAAGUACUACCACGGAACUCAUGUCCAACAUUUCGCCAAAUGGGAGAUUUAGAAGGAUUAUUGAUUACUGGGAAAAAGGUGAGCUUCUGGGAAGGGGGUCGUUCGGAUCGGUAUAUGAAGGAAUCUCUAAUGAUGGAUUCUUUUUUGCUGUAAGAGAAGUUUCUUUACUGGAUCAAGGAAGCCAAGGGAAGCAGAGCAUUUUGCAACUUGAGCAGGAGAUUUCUCUAUUAAGAAAGUUUGAACACGAGAACAUAAUUCAAUAUCUUGGGACAGACAAGGUAUGCUUUUUAUUUUUGAGUGUCUUGUUUGUGCUAUGUAAUAUUUGUGGAAUGAGAAUACAAAAUGUACUGUACUUGUCAUGCAUUCCUCAACUGUGUGAAUGAUAUUCAGGCAUCUUACUAAUUUCUUAGACCCAAUAUAUCUACUAUUUAGAACAAAUAUAUGAAAAUGGUACAGUUACCUUCAGGUCUUUGUUCUAACCAUGCAGAGUUGUGAUGCGAAUUCUAUUUCAUUUCUAUUCCCAAGGGACUCGUAAGCCUAUCUGGUCUUGCUUAAGGGCAGAUUAGGUUGUUCUUGCAUUAAAUAGCAGAGAUCUUUUAGACUGCAAAAAGUUUUAGCAGAUAAUGUGCUUUUAUUUGUGAUGCAUGCAGGGUUUAUGCUAUCAACAUAUUUCUUUUGCUGCUCUUGGCUUUGCUUUGGUUAAAAGUUGAAAUUGGACCCAUUGUGCUCUCAAAAUUGUUGAAGGAAGUCAUUUUUUGUCUUGCACCAUUAGUGGAUGGGCUUUGUAGUUAUUUCUCAUACAUCAUACUUGUGGCUUCCAUUUUGCUUGUUCAUGAACCAUCUGGUUGAUAAGUGAGAGUUUUUUUUUUUGGUUGUGGGUUGUGG